ensembl:lncRNA
CAAAAAAGUUUUUUUUGAAGUUUAUUCGAGAUAAUUGAAGUACAAUACUAUUUCAGUUUUUCCACUUCGAAAUUUCACGUUUAAUUCAAUGUGCUACUUUGUAACAGUUUCUUUGUUAUUAUUUGUGAAAUUUACUGUGUGAAAAUGGUUUCAAAGUAAAUCUCACACCUGUUUUUUUUUCAGUGCGGUGAAUCUCAUCGUCUGAGGCUCACAGUGCUGUAAAUCAGACUGAUCUGACUGAGGCUCUUCCUCUAUACUCAUGGAGUAACAGUGUCCAGACUGAGCAGUAAAGCUCCUGAUAAAGAUACGUGUGUGUGUGUAUACGUCUGUGUGAGAUCUCAAGACUGAUACACUGAUGAGGAGAGCAUGUUGAAAUGCAUCAGGUCUGCAGUCGACACACUUCCCUGGGAAACAUCCGUGUUAUCAGAUGAGGCUGAUGGGCGGCAGUCUAGGGUUACUUGAAAAUAAUCCCGUCCUUACUUCAGGAGCGGCACAUGAUCAGGCGGACAUCUGGCUGACAGAAGGUGGCUUUUGUAAUGGCACCGAAGAUCUGCAACUGUACAAACACCUGCGUCAUACACACAGCACGUGCAAUGAUCUCUAGAGGAUGUGUGUUGCCCUUCCUCUGAGUUGCAGGUCAUUGUGUUUGGAGGCAGGUGAGCAGAAGUGUCUCCAUCAGUGUUUGUGGGUGUUUGUUUGUUACUUGGACAGUGUUGAGGAGGAGUGAGCGUUGCACGAGGCUUCAGUGCCAGUGUUUUUGGUCAUGCAUGAAUGCAUGUAUGCAGGUGGGCGUCAGUUAUGAAGAAAUAAACAAAUGUUCUUAAAAAGGUCA